GGCAUUCCCCAGCAGGCCUCUGCAGAUCCUGCGGGUGGGAGGAAAGACGGCAUCAGAGGUGGUGGCUCAGGGAUAGCAGUGUUCGUUGCGAGUGCAAUCUCAUUACAAAAAAAAAAACAAAAAACAAAAAACAAAAAACAAAAAUGUUGUCACACUGGAAAUUGUACAUUUUUUUAAAGAAAAGGUAUAGUUUUAUAACUGAGAUGUACCUAAAUUAUGACCAUUUGGUUUAUGAAUAUUCUACUGUGACAUGAAAAGUUCCUGUAUUUUCAAAAACUUUUCUAUUAAAAUUGAUUUAACUC
rnacentral:lncRNA from 1 species